CGGUGCGGUAUCCGUUAUUAGGAGCGGGAUCCCAUCAAAACUCCGAAGUUAAGCGUGCUUGGGCGAGAGUAGUACUAGGAUAGGUGACCUCCUGGGAAGUCCUCGUGUUGCAUUCC
rnacentral:rRNA from 1 species